CCUACGGGGCGCAGCAGUGGGGAAUAUUGGACAAUGGGCGAAAGCCUGAUCCAGCCAUGCCGCGUGUGUGAAGAAGGUCUUCGGGUUGUAAGCACUUUCAGUGGGGAAGAAAGCCUUGGGGCUAAUACCCUCGAGGAAGGACAUCACCCACAGAAGAAGCACCGGCUAACUCCGUGCCAGCAGCCGCGGUAAUACGGAGGGUGCGAGCGUUAAUCGGAAUUACUGGGCGUAAAGCGCGCGUAGGCGGUCUGAUAAGCCGGUUGUGAAAGCCCCGGGCUCAACCUGGGAACGGCAUCCGGAACUGUCAGGCUAGAGUGCAGGAGAGGAAGGUAGAAUUCCCGGUGUAGCGGUGAAAUGCGUAGAGAUCGGGAGGAAUACCAGUGGCGAAGGCGGCCUUCUGGACUGACACUGACGCUGAGGUGCGAAAGCGUGGGUAGCAAACAGGAUUAGAUACCCCAGUAGUC
rnacentral:rRNA from 1 species